rnacentral:rRNA from 1 species
GAUGAACGCUAGCUACAGGCUUAACACAUGCAAGUCGAGGGGAAACGGCAUUGAGUGCUUGCACUCUUUGGACGUCGACCGGCGCACGGGUGAGUAACGCGUAUCCAACCUUCCCAUUACUGUGGGAUAACCUGCCGAAAGGCAGACUAAUACCGCAUAGUCUUCGAUGACGGCAUCAGAUUUGAAGUAAAGAUUUAUCGGUGAUGGAUGGGGAUGCGUCUGAUUAGCUUGUUGGCGGGGUAACGGCCCACCAAGGCGACGAUCAGUAGGGGUUCUGAGAGGAAGGUCCCCCACAUUGGAACUGAGACACGGUCCAAACUCCUACGGGAGGCAGCAGUGAGGAAUAUUGGUCAAUGGACGGAAGUCUGAACCAGCCAAGUAGCGUGCAGGUUGACGGCCCUAUGGGUUGUAAACUGCUUUUGUAUGGGGAUAAAGUUAGGGACGUGUCCCUAUUUGCAGGUACCAUACGAAUAAGGACCGGCUAAUUCCGUG